CAACCCUCAAGCCCUGCUUGGUGUUGGGGCCCUGCGGCUGCCGCAGGCCCUGAAAUGAAGUGGCGGGCUCGCUGCAACCUCCGAGCGUAGUAGUUUCUAUUCUCGCUAGGGAGGCGCGGCGCGCUCCGGCCGUUAAAGAACCCAUUCUUUAGCACAA
rnacentral:misc_RNA from 1 species